GCCGCGCGCCCCUCAGGCGGCCGGGCCCGUCCGCGCGACGCCUCUCGCGCUCUUUCGGCCCGACUCACCUCCUCCGCCGCCGGCCGGGCCCGGCUGCUGGUCCUUACGCGGCGGCUGGGGUGGCGGCGGCUGCGGCGGCGAGACGCGCUGGUAGAGCGGCGGCGGAGGGGGCGGCUGCGGCGGCGGGGGGCAGUUUCUCCGGGAUUAAGCGAGAAGUCGCGGCGGAAAAGGCCCAGCCGGAACGAGAUUUAUGGCGGGGGAAUCCUGGAGCAUGAAGUGCGCAUGCGUAUAUAGAGCAACACCGCCCUCUCCGCUAGUCUCCCUUCACCAUCGACCCUCGGGUCCAGCAUGGAAGCCCUAAGUGACGUCAACCUUUGUUCCCAUGGUAACGCGGAACCUUGGGGCGGGAGUACGGGAGGGGCUGAUGGGCGCCGGAAAACCGGCUCCGUUACGCCGCAGGUAAAGAGACUUCCUGUUUUUUUUAAAUCAAAGACCCAAAAAGCUAUGAAUAGAGAAGACUUAUUGAAGGAUUAAAAACAGUAUUUGAAGUGAUGCAACAACAAAUUAAAUGAAAGAUAACAAGGUUGUCAAUUCAAAAGUUACAAAUACACACUUCUAUCGGAAUCUUAA